AAAUUAAAUAGCUUAAAGUAAUAAAGCAAAGUAUUGAAGAUACUAAGAUGAGCAAACUCUUUAAUUA
rnacentral:tRNA from 1 species